rnacentral:rRNA from 1 species
UACGGAGGGGACUAGCGUUGUUCGGAAUUACUGGGCGUAAAGCGCACGUAGGCGGACCGAAAAGUUGGAGGUGAACUCCCAGGGCUCAACCUUGGAACUGCCUUCAAAACUGCCGGUCUAGAGUUCGAGAGAGGUGAGUGGAAUUCCGAGUGUAGAGGUGAAAGUCGUAGAGAGUCGGAGGAACACCAGUGGCGAAGGCGGCUCACUGGCUCGAUACUGACGCUGAAGUGCGAAAGCGUGGGGAGCAAACAGG